CCAUAUUCUCGUUAGUGGGAUGAAGGCAAGCCCAAUCGUAGAUUAAUCAUCAUCCCCGUUCCUUCACCGACGACCGCACAGACAGAAGCUCCGGUGAAUCCAUAGAGCUGGGAGAAAUGUUAUCUUUGAAAUUUGGGUCAAAAUGGGUGGCGGUUGCUACCUCCGAAUCAGUCGUAGGACGUCAAAGACACUUGAGAGAUCUUUGCUGUUUUUCCAACCGUAUUCAGUCAAAUGGAUUAUCUUCUCAAUAUCAGAUUGAUUUCAAUUCACCAUUGUCGUCGAAACAUUCUUUGUCUUUGGAAGGACUGGAGGAUGUCAUGGUCGGCUACUUUUUUGGGAAGAAGAGGGCGACAGAAGUUGCUCACUCUGUUUGGAAAUGUAUUGUCAAAAAAGGGGAUACAGUAGUAGAUGCUACUUGUGGAAAUGGUUAUGAUACUCUAGCUAUGGUCAAGAUGGUUGCAGAUGAAUCUGGUUCUGCACGUGUUUAUGCAAUGGAUGUACAAAAUGAGGCUUUAGAAAGUACUUCUGCAUUGCUGGAUGAAUCACUCAGUGAAAAAGAGAAGAAACUUGUUAAACUCUCUUCCAUUUGCCACAGCAGAAUGGAGGAUGUCAUUCUAGAGGAUUCCCCUGUUAGUCUUGUUGCAUUUAACCUAGGGUACCUACCUGGUGGUAACAAAGCAAUCACUACAAAGUCAGAAACAACAUUUCAAGCACUUAAAGCUGCACACAGGAUUCUGAAACCUGGAGGGCUUAUCAGCCUAGUGGUUUAUGUGGGGCAUCCUGGUGGAAUGGAAGAAUUGGAGACUAUCGAAAAAUUUUCUAGCGACCUGGCUGUUGAGAAUUGGAUUUGUUGUAAGCUACAGAUGUUAAACCGGCCACUAGCUCCAGUGCCUGUAUUCUUAUUCAAGAGAUGAAAGUGACAGUUUAUGAAGUUGGGACAAUGCUCAUGCAUAGUUCACUUGCUAUUGCCUCUUUUGGUAGCCUUGGUGGCAUUGGAUUAAUUUCAUGUCAAUCUUGUCAUGCAGCUUCAUUACCACAAGCAAACCAACUGGGAUGACAUGCCUCGAAGCCACCACGUCCUAUUUAGAGGAUUUAGGACUUCUAACAAACCUGACAAGCAACAACCUUAACUAAUAUAUGGACCGCACAUUUACUUGAUAUGGGGCAUAAGACGAAAGAAACAACAUUCACGAGGGAAGCCAACAUGCUAGUUUUGUUAAUGUGAUUGUGCUUUUGUUAGAUACAAAAACUCUCUAUUCACAAGCCUGAUAAUGUCAAACGAAUCUAACUCAACAUUGGAAAUUUGAGAGAAACAAGACAAACCGUGGAUAAAAGCCAAUGCUUCAAAUUCCUUAAUUACUAACACAUUUCUCGCUUGGCUACAGCAUCACUAAGAGACCCAAAGUAAUAUUGAGAUAAAUUUUCUCUCUCUAACUUCUCUCUCAAAAUGUGAGAAAAUCUAAAAGAGAUGGAAAGUUCAAAAUAAAUAGGAAGGACUUCUUGGUAGGGUUGAUGAGGAAGGUUAGGAAAAUUUAUAUUGAAGAAAGAAAUGGUAGGAAAUUUGGUAAAAUGGAGCUGGACUUUGGGACCUCAGCUUUGGUUAGGGAUUGUCUAACAAAUGCUGCAGUUGCAAAUAAUCCCAGGGUUUUUUGGGGUAGAAGAGGGCUGAAGUUCGCCAUUAUCUUCUUCCAGGUUUUGGAGAAUGCAAGAGGUAGGUUUGUCAUUCUAUCCCUAGAAUCUUUUAAAGGAAAAAAGACGAGAAUUUUCAUAUCGAAAGGGAGCAAAGGAAAGGGUAGGAAAUCUUUUGCAGAGGAGAUAUCGGUUUUACUUUUGGGUCUGGAAGGGGCGAUUAGAAUCAGUUUUGCUUCCGAGGUUUGGAAGGGAAAUUAGAAGUUAGGUUUAGUGACCUAACCAGCUAAGGAUCGGUUGAAGAAAGGGAAAGAAGGGUCUCAACCGACCAUAAUUUUGCUCAAGGAAAAUAAGGGACCAAGGGUCUAGAAUCGAGAAGUACUCAAAAUGACAAAGAUGUUGGGAAGAAGAUGGCAGAUGAAAGUGGAAAAGACGGUCACAAUUAAGACCUAAAUUGAGUGUUAAGCCUUUUUUGGAAGUUAUUGAUUGAAACCCCAUUUUACCUAGGGAGGAUGAGGAGAUGGUGAUGCCAUUUUCUUUAGAAGAGAUUAAGAAGUCAGUUUUCAGUUGCAAAGGCGACAAAUUUUCUGGUGCGGAUGGGUUCUCUAUGGCUUUCUUCCAAAAGAACUAGAAUCUGAUUAAAGGGGCUUGGAGGGAGUCUUUAAGGAGUUCUUUGAAAGAGGUAUCUUGAACCGUUUGAUGGUGGAAACUCUUGUGUCUAGUCCCCAGAAAGGAAAAUGCCAAUAGAGUUAGGGAGUUCCGACCUAUCUGCCUUAUCGCUAGUGUUUAAGAUUUUGACUAAGGUUCUUGCUAACCAAUAUUGCCCUCGAAAAUUUCUGAAGCUCAAGGUGCUUUUUUAACAGGAAGGCAGAUUUCGGAUCAAGCUCUUAUUGCUAAUGAGACUAUAGAGGAGUAUAGGUCGAAGAAAAAGGAGGGUGUUUUGCUUAAAAUUGAUUUUGAAAAGCGUUUGAUCAUGUGGAUUGGAAUUUUUUGGACAGAGUGAUGAUGAAAAUGAAGAAUGUGGAUGUGGGGUGUAUUAGAAACGUGAAGUACUUGAUUCUCGUCAAUAGGUCCCCAAAAGGGUCAAUACAAGCUUCUAAGGAUUUAAGACAAGGGGAUCAUUUUUCCCAUUUUUAUUCUUACUCGUGAUGAAUGUCUUAAGCCGACUUAUAAGUAAAGGGGUUGAAGGGAACACUAUUGACCCCUUUAGGCUUGGCAGAGAUGAAAUCACCUUAUCGCAACUCCAAUUUGCGGACGAUACUUGUUCUGUUCCGAGAGAGAAGAGUCCUUCCUCACUCUUAAUUAUAUGGUUGCUUUCUUUGAGGAGUUGUCUGGUUUGGAAAUUAAUAGAAGCAAAUGCACCAUCUUGGAUAUUAAUGUGGAUGCUAUUAAGCUUUAGAGAUGGCAGAGGUAUUUGAUUGUGAGGUUGGUUCCUUCUGUUCGCUUUAUCUUGGGCUCCCUUUGGGGAACAAUCCGAGGGCUAUGUCUUUUUGGGAACUCGUUUGUGAGAAGAUUCGUAAGAGAUUGGCGAGAUGGAUGAAAGGGUUCUUUUCUCAAAAGCAGGGAGAUUAACUAUGAUUAAAUAUGUUAUGAAUGGAAACCAAUGUAUUAUGUCGCUUUUCAGGAUGCCUAGUUCAAUUUGUAAAAGUAUGGAGAAGUACAUGAGAGAUUUUCUUUGGGAGGGUGUUGACGAAGGUCAUGGUUUCCAUUUGUUGAGUUGGGAGUUGGGAGUUGGUGGAGCGUCCUAUGAACAAAGGGGAGUUAGAGAUUGAUAAUUUUAUAUUCCGCAGUAGAGCGUUAUUGGCUAAGUGACUCUUGGCUUUUCUCUUGAACCUGAGUCUUUAUGGCAUAGAAUUAUUGUAAGCAUGGCACCCGUCUCUUUAAAUAGACGUCGAAAUGGGUUAAAGGCACACACCAAAAUCCCUGGAAGGAUAUUUCCUUUGAGCUUUCCACUUUUUCUCAGUUUACUCAUUGCUUUGUAGAGGAUGGUAAGGAUACAUAUUUCUGGUAGGACCACUGGGUGGAGAGUCUCCUUUGUUCUUUAUAUCCCCAUCUUUAUCAUUUAUCCUCGUUAGAAAACUGUAUAGUCUCGAAUUGUUGGGUCAGCUUGGAGAAUUCUGCGUCUUUUUUCUUUGGGUUCCUUCGUCAUUUAACCAGAAGAGAAGUGACAGCGGCGACCUCUUUUCUUUUCUUGCUUGAGGGGGUGUAUUUUUAAGGAGGGGAGAAGGGAUGUUCGUGUCUGGACUCCCUAAUCCAAGUAGUGGUUUCACGUUUAAGUCCUUGUUUAGUCUUUUGUGUUAGACCUUUCUCCCUAUUCUAAGUCGAUCUUUGAUAUGGUCUGGAGGGCUAAGGUUUCCAAGAAAGUUAGAUUCUUUAUAUGGCAAGUCUUGCUUGGGCAUGCUGACACUAUGGAAAGGCUUGUUAGGAAGAGGACUUCUCUUGUUGACCUUUUUUGCUGCAUGCUUUGUCAGAAGGCGGAGGAAGAUCUUGUUCAUCUUUUUUGGGACAUACUGCCAUUAUGUGAGGGUAGUGUGGAGCUCUUUCCUGUAAGUGUUUGGUGUCAGUUUUGCUGGCUCUAGGAGUGUCAAAGCGAUGAUCGAGGAGUCCUUCUCCAUCUGCCGAUAGAGGGGUGCCUUUGGGAACAUGGGCACAGGUGGUGCAUAGAGUUCAACCAUUGUGUUUAGUUGCCAAUCGUUGAGGUUGGAACCUUGAGUAGACUGUCGGCGGUAAGCCAGAGGAAGGUGAGGAUGACAUCAAGUCAUCAUGCCCCUUAUGCCCUGGGCAACACGUGCUAUAAUGGCCGAGAAAGAGUUAUGAUCUUGUGAGGCUAACUCCAAAAACCCGUCAUUAAUUCGGAUUGUUGGUUGCAACUCGCCUGCAUGAAGCCGAAAUCACUAGUAAUUGUAGGUCAGCCAUAUGGUGGUGAAUUCGUUUUUAGGCCUUGUACACACUGCUUGCCACACUAUUGUAGCUGGCCAUGCCCGAAGUUGUUACCUUAACUGCAGGAGGGAGAUGCCAAAGGCAGGCCAGUGACGGAAGAUAAAUGGGGCUUUCUAUGGGUGGCUGGAGUGUGUGCCAUUGUUUGGGACAUUUGAGGUGAGAGGCAUGGGCAGGUUUUUAGGGGUAGGGAGAGGGAGCAUAGUGAGAUUUCAUCUUUGGCUAGAUUUCCUGAUAAUCUCCCACUUUGAAAAAGCUUAAUUCUUUGAACAUCAUCUCCCAAACCACUUUGUUGAGACACAACAUCCUCCAACUCUCAUCUAAUACACCCUGCCUUUAAUCCUAACUAAGUCUUACUGGAACCUGCAAAUUUUGUCAAAUUCCUCACACAAGCUGUUUGGAAUCUUAAAAUAUUGUAGCUUGGGAUAGCAUAGGCAACAACCUUGAUAAGAACUUCCUUUCCACGCACAGAGAAAAGACUUCCCUUCCACCCUUGUAACACAUUCCACACCCGAACAGUAAUCCUUUUGAACAAUCUGGUCUGGCUCCUCCAAUUAUGUGUAGGAAGACCUAGAUUAGUGCUGAGAUUGUCAGAUCUUUUAGCCACCAGAAUCUGAUUGAGCUCAGAUGUCAUUCUUCUCAUAAAUAUUCUUACUGAUUAAGCAAAAAGGAGACUUAUCUAGGUUGAUCAUUUGACCCAUAGCCUUUUCGUAAACUCUAAGCACCUUUGUCAGAUAUUUUAGCCACCAGCAUCUGAUUGAGCUCAGAUGUCAUUCUUCUCAUUAAUAUUCUUACUGAUUAAGCAAAAAGAAGACUUAUCCAGGUUUAUCAUUUGACCCGUAGCCUUCUCAUAAACUCCAAGUACCUUUGUAAUAGUGUAACAAUCCUUCCUUGAAGCUUUGAGAGACACCAGGUUGACAUCUGCAGAAAAGAAAAGAAAGCAUAAGAAAGGGCAAUGCUUGUUAACAUGCAAAUCACUCAUUUGAAAAAAAGGGUGGAUAGCCCAGCACAAAUUGGGAACAAGUAGAGAGACAAGGGAUUCCCUAAUCUAAGGCCUCAAUUGAAUGCAAACUUUUUAAAAUGUAACCCGUUCACAAGAACUCCAAACUUGACAUAUUCCACAACUCUCAAGGCAAUUUACCAAUUUUAUUUUCAAACUCAAGCUUACUAAGAAAAUCUCAUUUUCACUUUGUUUUGAGUUUUGCUCAGGUUAAUUAGCUUCAAAACAAUAUGACACUCCUUACUACUUCACUUGCUAUUGCUAGCGUGGAUGCACAAAAACCAAGGUUACAUGUUCUAUAAUAAGUUUGCCUAGGAUAAAACUCAGGCCCAUUUAAGCUUGUUAGUCAAUGCAUCUGCAAUGAUUUUGUAUGAGAUAUUGCACAGGUUAGACAUGGAUAAAAUCUACCACCCUCUUUUUUUCAAAACACCUUGGUAUAAAAAUUUCUACGUGCUUAAAAAAAUGUCUUUAGCACACUCAGAAUCAAUUCAAACUGGUCCUACAUGAAAGUGGCAAAAUUUAUAAUCUCUUCUUUCAAAUAUAACAAAGUAUAGAUAAAAUAGACUUAUAUUAUAGGUAGAAUUUAAAAGAUUUUGCUAUAUUUGCGAUCUUUUUCAAAUGUUAUAUAUAAAACUAUUUUGAAUCUAAAUGCUAUAUUUGCAAUUAUUUCUAAUUUAAUUUAUUUUUUGGAGGGGCUUAUUUUGAGUCAAGUAUAUUGUUCCUACUAUUCUUAUUUAGAAUGGAUUCGUAAAAAAAGAAAAAAGAAAAAAAAAAGAGGAUUUGAAUGAUUAAGUAGGGUAGUGUGCCUAAAAGUGAAAUUAACAUAUGAUAAUGGUGCGAAUCAAUGAGAAAAUUAGUUUGGUCUGAGAGAGAAAAAUUGAGAAGAGGAAGAAGCCUUGUCAAUGGAGAAACAAUAUAUGGUUUUCUUAAAAAAAAAAA